AGAGUUUGAUCCUGGCUCAGGAUGAACGCUAGCUACAGGCUUAACACAUGCAAGUCGAGGGGCAGCGGGAAGUCAGCUUGCUGACUUUGCCGGCGACCGGCGCACGGGUGAGUAACACGUAUCCAACCUCCCGCAUACUCGGGAAUAGCCUUUCGAAAGAAAGAUUAAUGCCCGAUGGUUUCAAGGGAUUGCAUGGUAUCUUGAAUAAAGAUUCAUCGGUAUGCGAUGGGGAUGCGUUCCAUUAGGCAGUUGGCGGGGUAACGGCCCACCAAACCGACGAUGGAUAGGGGUUCUGAGAGGAAGGUCCCCCACAUUGGAACUGAGACACGGUCCAAACUCCUACGGGAGGCAGCAGUGAGGAAUAUUGGUCAAUGGGCGAGAGCCUGAACCAGCCAAGUAGCGUGAAGGAUGACUGCCCUACGGGUUGUAAACUUCUUUUAUAAGGGAAUAAAGUUCUCUACGUGUAGAGUUUUGUAUGUACCUUAUGAAUAAGCAUCGGCUAACUCCGUGCCAGCAGCCGCGGUAAUACGGAGGAUGCGAGCGUUAUCCGGAUUUAUUGGGUUUAAAGGGAGCGUAGACGGCGGUUUAAGUCAGCUGUGAAAUGGUGCGGCUCAACCGUAGCACUGCAGUUGAAACUGGACGGCUUGAGUGCAGUUGAGGCAGGCGGAAUUCGUGGUGUAGCGGUGAAAUGCUUAGAUAUCACGAAGAACUCCGAUUGCGAAGGCAGCUUACUAAGCUGUAACUGACAUUGAUGCUCGAAAGUGUGGGUAUCAAACAGGAUUAGAUACCCUGGUAGUCCACACGGUAAACGAUGAAUACUCGCUGUUGGCGAUAUACAGUCUGCGGCCAAGCGAAAGCAUUAAGUAUUCCACCUGGGGAGUACGCCGGCAACGGUGAAACUCAAAGGAAUUGACGGGGGCCCGCACAAGCGGAGGAACAUGUGGUUUAA
rnacentral:rRNA from 1 species